UACGUAGGGUGCAAGCGUUAAUCGGAAUUACUGGGCGUAAAGCGUGCGCAGGCGGUUCGGAAAGUAAGAUGUGAAAUCCCAGGGCUUAACCUGGGAAUGGCAUUGGUGACUGCACGGCUAGAGUGUGUCAGAGGGGGGUAGAAUUCCACGUGUAGCAGUGAAAUGCGUAGAGAUGUGGAGGAAUACCGAUGGCGAAGGCAGCCCCCUGGGAUAACACUGACGCUCAUGCACGAAAGCGUGGGGAGCAAACAGG
rnacentral:rRNA from 1 species